GUGUGUGGCAGCUCCAGGGAUCCAACUCCAGGCAGGUGCUGAGCAUGCUCCAGAAAGGGAAGAUCUCGCAUCCGUCAGGAAGACUCCACUGAGUGGACAAAGAGUGCGUGAGUGAAGUCUGAAGGAGAUUCUCCUCAACACUUGCAGUUAAGCAAGUGGUUAAAACAGAAAAUGUUAAUGCUAGAACAACUAGACAGUACAUACGGCCUCUAUCAGGUAUUUAUGUAAUAAUUUCUGGCUGUGAUGUACAAAAAUGUCUAAGGGAUUUGGGCA